rnacentral:rRNA from 1 species
AUGCAGUCGAACGGAAAGGCCUCAGCUUGCUGGGGUACUCGAGUGGCGAACGGGUGAGUAACACGUGGGUGAUCUGCCCUGCACUUUGGGAUAAGCUUGGGAAACUGGGUCUAAUACCGAAUAUGACCACUUCUUGGAUGUUGUGGUGGAAAGCUUUUGCGGUGUGGGAUGAGCCUGCGGCCUAUCAGCUUGUUGGUGGGGUAAUGGCCUACCAAGGCGGCGACGGGUAUCCGGCCUGAGAGGGUGUACGGACACAUUGGGACUGAGAUACGGCCCAGACUCCUACGGGAGGCAGCAGUGGGGAAUAUUGCACAAUGGGCGCAAGCCUGAUGCAGCGACGCCGCGUGGGGGAUGAAGGCCUUCGGGUUGUAAACUCCUUUCGCUAUCGACGAAGCCACUUGUGGUGACGGUAGGUAGAUAAGAAGCACCGGCUAACUACGUGCCAGCAGCCGCGGUAAUACGUAGGGUGCAAGCGUUGUCCGGAAUUACUGGGCGUAAAGAGCUCGUAGGUGGUUUGUCGCGUCGUCUGUGAAAUCCCGGGGCUUAACUUCGGGCGUGCAGGCGAUACGGGCAUAACUUGAGUGCUGUAGGGGAGACUGGAAUUCCUGGUGUAGCGGUGAAAUGCGCAGAUAUCAGGAGGAACACCGAUGGCGAAGGCAGGUCUCUGGGCAGUAACUGACGCUGAGGAGCGAAAGCAUGGGUAGCGAACAGGAUUAGAUACCCUGGUAGUCCAUGCCGUAGACGGUGGGCGCUAGGUGUAGGGGGCUUCCACGUCUUCUGUGCCGUAGCUAACGCAUUAA